rnacentral:rRNA from 1 species
CGCUUUCGCACCUGAGCGUCAGUCUUUGUCCAGGGGGCCGCCUUCGCCACCGGUAUUCCUCCAGAUCUCUACGCAUUUCACCGCUACACCUGGAAUUCUACCCCCCUCUACAAGACUCAAGCUUGCCAGUUUCAAAUGCAGUUCCCAGGUUGAGCCCGGGGAUUUCACAUCUGACUUAACAAACCGCCUGCGUGCGCUUUACGCCCAGUAAUUCCGAUUAACGCUUGCACCCUCCGUAUUACCGCGGCUGCUGGCACGGAGUUAGCCGGUGCUUCUUCUGCGAGUAACGUCAAUCGCUAAGGUUAUUAACCUUAACGCCUUCCUCCUCGCUGAAAGUACUUUACAACCCGAAGGCCUUCUUCAUACACGCGGCAUGGCUGCAUCAGGCUUGCGCCCAUUGUGCAAUAUUCCCCACUGCUGCCUCCCGUAGGAGUCUGGACCGUGUCUCAGUUCCAGUGUGGCUGGUCAUCCUCUCAGACCAGCUAGGGAUCGUCGCCUAGGUGAGCCAUUACCCCACCUACUAGCUAAUCCCAUCUGGGCACAUCUGAUGGCAUGAGGCCCGAAGGUCCCCCACUUUGGUCUUGCGACGUUAUGCGGUAUUAGCUACCGUUUCCAGUAGUUAUCCCCCUCCAUCAGGCAGUUUCCCAGACAUUACUCACCCGUCCGCCGCUCGUCACCCGAGAGCAAGCUCUCUGUGCUACCGCUCGACUUGCAUGUGUUAGGCCUGCCGCCAGCGUUCAAU